GUUGUUACAAAACUCAUCCGGUUAGGAUUUGAUCAUAUCAAGUACCCACAGAAAUCAGACCCAUUGUCACUCCUAAUAGACCCACCCACAAUAACUAACCCAACCCAACUGGCCAUAACCCUAACCCUAAACUAAGGGAACCAAAAAUAGAAAGCUACCAAAACGAGGACAGUGCGGCUUCCAUUGGGAAUCACUGGAAGAGUUGCCGAAACCAGUAAAUCGAUUUCUUUGUUUGAGCCAAAGCAAGAGAAAACCCCAAAUAUAGGUAGAAGCCUAUAAUUCAUAGAAAAAACCAUCAUCUCCAGCAAACACCAAAAACAGAAAGACCACCAUCAACAGGGAAGGGAGGAGAGCAGAGGCCAUGGGUUCACUAUCGCCAUGCGAAAACCAACUAGAUGCAUGUUGAAUGCUGGCUCUAAACUCGAGACGCCUUCCUUGUAACCCUCUCUAGUCGAUCCCCUGCUCAUCCCACCAAUAACUUAACUCCAAUAACAGCAUCGAGAAUGAACAUAGCCAUGAAAAUUAUGGUUCUUUCCAUCGACCAACCCACAACGCAGGAAAACUUCCAAAUCCCUCUCCAAAUAACUCAUUUUGCCUACCAAAACCAAUAUCAAAACUACAUACAACCUCACCUAGAGAUGAGGAGGGACACCUUUGCCUUGAGGAGGAGAGAAAACCAUCCCCUACCCCAGAGGGCACAGAACAGCUCUACACAGUUGAGAAGUGGGCCUUGAACCCUAGAGAACUGAAACUUUUUGAGAGAUGCUUUUGAAAUAUGAAAUUG
rnacentral:misc_RNA from 1 species